rnacentral:misc_RNA from 1 species
UGGCCUUGACAUCCCAGGAACUCCCACUUUCAUGGGAGUUCCUGGGAUGUCAAGGCCAGGUAAGGUUCUUCGCGUUGCGUCGAAUUAAACCACAUACUCCACCGCUUGUGCGGGCCCCCGUCAAUUCCUUUGAGUUUUAGCCUUGCGGCCGUACUUCCCAGGCGGAUUGCUUAAUGCGUUAACUUCGGCACUGAAGGGGUGAAUACCUCCAACACCUAGCAAUCAUCGUUUACGGCGUGGACUAC